rnacentral:rRNA from 1 species
GCUCAGAUUGAACGCUGGCGGCAGGCCUAACACAUGCAAGUCGAACGGUAGCAGGAAGAAGCUUGCUUCUUUGCUGACGAGUGGCGGACGGGUGAGUAAUGUCUGGGAAACUGCCCGAUGGAGGGGGAUAACUACUGGAAACGGUAGCUAAUACCGCAUAACGUCUUCGGACCAAAGAGGGGGACCUUCGGGCCUCUUGCCAUCGGAUGUGCCCAGAUGGGAUUAGCUAGUAGGUGGGGUAACGGCUCACCUAGGCGACGAUCCCUAGCUGGUCUGAGAGGAUGACCAGCCACACUGGAACUGAGACACGGUCCAGACUCCUACGGGAGGCAGCAGUGGGGAAUAUUGCACAAUGGGCGCAAGCCUGAUGCAGCCAUGCCGCGUGUAUGAAGAAGGCCUUCGGGUUGUAAAGUACUUUCAGCGGGGAGGAAGGGAGUGAGGUUAAUAACCUCAUUCAUUGACGUUACCCGCAGAAGAAGCACCGGCUAACUCCGUGCCAGCAGCCGCGGU